CGGAAAGAGAAGAAACCUGCAGGAAGGAAAGAAGUUGAACUUGUUGGGACAUGACUGGACAAGAGAAGCACCAGGAGAGAAAGGACUUUAUCUGCCUGUUCAUCAUUGUAUUUCUAGCCCCUAGACCAGUAGCUGGCCAUUAGGAGGAAUGCUAGGGAGACAGAGCAUGAGAGGGGAAGGA